ACUUUUUCUUAACCUCCAUUCUACUCUCCCACGACCUACCUACAACUCCACUUUACAGUUUAUCCUACUGAAUUUCCACGUCUGUUCUUCCGAGCAAUCUUCUUCUCUCUGUCUUUCAUAAUCAAAUGAAACCCUUAUUUUAUCUAUAUUGCAUGCCCGAUCUGAUUUCGUUUUUUUUUUCCGAGUACGAUUUGGAAGUUCCAAUCAUACAACCAAUGUUGCUUUUGUCCGUCUGUAGAUCUCAAUUACAUUGUUAUGGUUAAAAUUAGAGGAAAACGCAGUAACAAUGGGGCUUGUUCUUUCUUUGUUUCAAGGUAACACGUCUAGUGAUUUUCUCUUGAUGUUUUAUUGGAUCUUCACCAACUUUUUAUGAUUGCUGCUAUUUUGGGGUUUUUUAUUGUCGUGCAAUUAGGUUAUCUCUGUGAAAACUAACUUUUUAUUGUGUGAAUUAUCUAUUUUCUUAUGGAAUUAGGGUAAACAAUUUUAUUGUGUUCGAUUAAGUUCGAGCGAAUUGAUUUUUUUUUUCUUGGUAAGAGUCUGCAAUCGUUAUCAAGUUUUUGGUUAAUAGAUGUCAUAUUGUACUCAAGUAUAAAAUCAGGUUGUAUUCUAGAGUUUUCUUAAUUGAAAACAAGGUGAAUUAUUUCUGCAAUUUUGAUUAUGUGUGAAAUUUAAAAGUAGGUACCCUCGGAUAAGCAUUGCCAAAGUGUGGGAGAUCCAUGCCUUUGCUCUUUAUGUGAAAGGUAAGCAGUGCUAAGAUGAGCAGGAGUGAUGAAGUUGAUGUUGAAUAUGAACUUGGUUACAUAUUAGGGCAUAAAAAGGAUCCUUUUAUUUUAGCUGUCCAAGCUAAUCAAGUUUUUAAUGUCAAAGAACAAGGAAAUUCGAGGUGGUCUCUUGUUAUAUCAUCCCCUUUAAAAGACUACAUUUAAGAUGAUGAUGUCGAUGAAAAUGCUGAGGAUGAGCUAAUGUUUGAGAAUCAUCGCCCAUAAGAUAAUGUGACGGUAUAUAUGAACUCACUUUAUGUGGAAGAUGAUUCUGACACUUCUUAUUUUCACGAUGGUUGUCAGGGGAUCUACAUUGAUCCCAGCUUUGAACAAUAAGAUGUAGUGACCCCUGGAAAGAGACCCACCAGUAUCAGUAUGUUAACUGGACAAGUAAACUUUCACAAGUAGAAGCUAGAUUUGUUUUCAGUUUGUAAUUUCACAAGCCGGUAAUGUACCCGAAUUUGAUUGUCUUUUAUCCACGCCUUAUUGUUGUAGGUUACUCCCGCUGCUUGUUAUUCUCGAGGAAGGGAGGAUGGAUUUUGUCUAUCAUUGUCGUGCUACGGCACACACACACUUCCAACCAUUUCCAUGGAUGAAGUUGGCAGUACUGGAUCUACUCGUAUGGAAUUCAGAUCAUAAUGGUGAUAGUGGUCUGCGAAGUUAUCAGAUGGGCCAUUAACCACCAAUGCACCGUGCAUAAAUGGCUUUAUAUGGAUACAAUGUUGCUAGGUACAUAAGCAUUAAGAAUCAAGGGCAAUGAAGAUCAUGUGCUAGUAAGCUAGCUGGGGGUAUACUAACCCCUGGAACUUCUGGAAAAAUGUAUUCAGAGAGGCAAUAUGCCAUUCAAUUCCAGGCACACCAAGCUGCUAAUGCUGACUGAUGCCACACAUGCGAUGUCAUAGACUUAAAUGCACUAAGAGACUUAAACGCACUAAGUAUAUUCGCGUAAAGGUAUUUCAUUGAUAUAUUCCUAUGAUCUCAAUGAGUUUAUCUUUGGAUAAAGAAACCACACCUGUGAAGCUGUGAUCACUUCAGUGAAUGCUCUCAGUAAGACCGACAUGGAAGUGCCAGGCAUUCUGUUGGGAGUGAAUGUAUGCACAAUUAUCAGCACUUCCGUGAUUAGAUUUCUGUUGGAUAAUAGUCAUUACAAGUACUUAGUAUUGUAAAUAGGAUUUCAUCAUUUCUUUCUUGUUCAGUCUUUGUUAACAGUAAGCUAUAUUGUUUAUGGAAUUUCAUGUUAAGGAUAAUGUUGUUUGAUUUAUAAUUAAUGAAAAUUCAAUUUGUUGUUGGUUA